AUUGAACGCUGGCGGCAGGCCUAACACAUGCAAGUCGAGCGUGAAAGGGCUUCGGCCUGAGUAAAGCGGCGGACGGGUGAGUAACGCGUAGGAAUCUACCUGGUAGUGGGGGAUAACGUUCCGAAAGGAACGCUAAUACCGCAUACGUUCUGAGGAAGAAAGCAGGGGACCGCAAGGCCUUGCGCUAUCAGAUGAGCCUGCGUCCGAUUAGCUAGUUGGUAGGGUAAAGGCCUACCAAGGCGACGAUCGGUAACUGGUCUGAGAGGAUGAUCAGUCACACUGGAACUGAGACACGGUCCAGACUCCUACGGGAGGCAGCAGUGGGGAAUAUUGGACAAUGGGGGCAACCCUGAUCCAGCCAUGCCGCGUGUGUGAAGAAGGCCUU
rnacentral:rRNA from 1 species